CACACACACACACACACACCCUGGAUUGCAGAAACACAAAAGGAGCUGACUAAAAAGGACUCCAUCUCAGGGGAACUAAACGGAGACAAUAAGAGGUUUUUCUUUGCAUCAAAGUAUUCCAGCUAAUAACUGAAGGAAAAAUAGAAGACAUGAUCAUUUUACCAACUCUAAUAAAGAAAGACCUCUAGGUUUGGCCUUGAGUUAAUUAUCACUGAAGGGAGCCGUCAGCACUUGGAAACACCGCAAAGGAAAUCGGCACUGUCAUGCCCAUCCCGAUUCCUGGAAACAUCAAAACCCACGGAGUGAGAGUACUGUGGACAGAACCGGCUCCACACAAACACAGACAGAACUUGCUCAGAACUGUGAGAGAUCUGCCCGUCUCGUUCUUCUUCCGAGACUGGAUGUUUUCGUUCUUGAAAUUUAUAAUCAACCUUUUAUAGUGAAAUGGGGCCUAUUUCUCGCUUGGUCAAGUAGCAGAAACAUUUGGGAAUCAGAAGAUCUGGAUUCUAUCUUGGCUCUGUCCUGCUACCUUGAUUAGGAUCUCCUCUGCAAAGUCCCUAUCGGCUGCAGGCCUCAGUUCCUACAUCUGCAACAUUGGGGUUAUAAUGUCCCCUUACAGUGCUGUCUGCAGGAUCAAAAUAGCUCAGGCACUUGAAAGCUCUGUGUGGACUGUUAAGCGCUAGACUCUCUCCAUCCCUAGGGUCAAGUUGGUUCUACUACCAAGAACUGCACCCAGCUGCUUCAAGAACAUUGUAUGGAU